rnacentral:rRNA from 1 species
CCUACGGGUGGCAGCAGUGGGGAAUAUUGCGCAAUGGGCGAAAGCCUGACGCAGCGACGCCGCGUGAGGGAUGAAGGUCUUCUGAUCGUAAACCUCUGUCAGCAGGGAAGAACGGUCACGGUGCUAAGCAGCAGUGAAUGGACGGUACCAGCAAAGGAAGCACCGGCUAACUCCGUGCCAGCAGCCGCGGUAAGACGGAGGGUGCGAGCGUUAAUCGGAAUGACUGGGCGGAAAGCGCGCGUAGGCGGUAUGUCAAGUCAAGGGUGAAAUCCCCGCGCUCAACGUGGGAACUGCCUUUGAUACUGGCAAACUGGAGUGUGUUCGCGGUUAGUGGCAUUCCUGGUGUAGGCGUCACAUCCGUAGGUAUCUGGAGGACCCUCAGUGGCGACGGCGACUCUCUGGCCCAUACCUGACGCUGCGGAGCGCAAGCGUGGGUAGCAACCAGGAUUAGAUACCCUGGUAGUC